AGCGAAUGGAUUAAGAGCUUGCUCUUAUGAAGUUAGCGGCGGACGGGUGAGUAACACGUGGGUAACCUGCCCAUAAGACUGGGAUAACUCCGGGAAACCGGGGCUAAUACCGGAUAACAUUUUGAACCGCAUGGUUCGAAAUUGAAAGGCGGCUUCGGCUGUCACUUAUGGAUGGACCCGCGUCGCAUUAGCUAGUUGGUGAGGUAACGGCUCACCAAGGCAACGAUGCGUACCCGACCUGAGAGGGUGAUCGGCCACACUGGGACUGAGACACGGCCCAGACUCCUACGGGAGGCAGCAGUAGGGAAUCUUCCGCAAUGGACGAAAGUCUGACGGAGCAACGCCGCGUGAGUGAUGAAGGCUUUCGGGUCGUAAAACUCUGUUGUUAGGGAAGAACAAGUGCUAGUUGAAUAAGCUGGCACCUUGACGGUACCUAACCAAAAAGCCACGGCUAACUACGUGCCAGCAGCCGCGGUAAUACGUAGGUGGCAAGCGUUAUCCGGAAUUAUUGGGCGUAAAGCGCGCGCAGGUGGUUUCUUAAGUCUGAUGUGAAAGCCCACGGCUCAACCGUGGAGGGUCAUUGGAAACUGGGAGACUUGAGUGCAGAAGAGGAGAGUGGAAUUCCAUGUGUAGCGGUGAAAUGCGUAGAGAUAUGGAGGAACACCAGUGGCGAACGCGACUUUCUGGUCUGUAACUGACACUGAGGCGCGAAAGCGUGGG
rnacentral:rRNA from 1 species